rnacentral:rRNA from 1 species
GCUUACCAUGCAAGUCGAACGAUGAAGCGGUGCUUGCACCGUGGAUUAGUGGCGAACGGGUGAGUAACACGUGAGUAACCUGCCCUUGACUCUGGGAUAAGCCUGGGAAACUGGGUCUAAUACCGGAUACGACCAUUGCCCGCAUGGGUUGGUGGUGGAAAGCUUUUGUGGUUUUGGAUGGACUCGCGGCCUAUCAGCUUGUUGGUGAGGUAAUGGCUCACCAAGGCGACGACGGGUAGCCGGCCUGAGAGGGUGACCGGCCACACUGGGACUGAGACACGGCCCAGACUCCUACGGGAGGCUGCAGUGGGGAAUAUUGCACAAUGGGCGAAAGCCUGAUGCAGCGACGCCGCGUGAGGGAUGACGGCCUUCGGGUUGUAAACCUCUUUCAGUAGGGAAGAAGCCGCAAGGUGACGGUACCUGCAGAAGAAGCGCCGGCUAACUACGUGCCAGCAGCCGCGGUAAUACGUAGGGCGCCCCGCGCUAUCCGGAAUUAUUGGGCGUAAAGAGCUCGUAGGCGGUUUGUCGCGUCUGCUGUGAAAGACCAGGGCUCACCUCUGGUUCUGCAGUGGGUACGGGCAGACUUGAGUGGUGUACGGGAGACUGGAAUUCCCUGGUGUAGCGGUGAAAUGCGCAGAUAUCAGGAGGAACACCGAUGGCGAAGGCAGGUCUCUGGUCCUUUAACUGACGCUGAGGAGCGAAAGCAUUGGGGAGCGAACGGAUAAGAUAC